GCUUUAUUCAUAAUAAUCCCAAACUGGAAACAAUUCAGAUGUCUACCCACAGGAGAAAAAUGGAUAAACAAACUGGAAUAGCCACCCAGUGGAACACUACUCAGCAAUGGAAAGGAACAUACCACUGACUGCUGCACCAAUAGAAAUGAAUCCCCAAAACCUAUGUCAAUUGAAAGCCAGACAUAAAAGAAUACAUACUAUGAGAUUCGACUUAUCUCAAUUUCAAGAACAAGCAAGCUUAUCUCUAGUGAUAGAGGUGAGAAUAAUUGUUCCUUGAAACUAUGGGCCAGGAAAGAGCACAGGGAACUUUUUGAGGUGUCAGAAAUAUUCUAUAUCUUGAGCUGAGUGGCAACAUAGGAGUAUACAUACGCAAAAAUUUACUUAUUUAUCUAUUUGUGUAUUUAUUUAUUUAUUUAUUUAUUUUUUGAGAUGGAAUCUCGCUCUGUCACCCAGGCUGGAGUGCAGUGGCGCAAUCUUGGCUCACUGCAAGCUCUGCCUCCCAGGUUCAAGUGACUCUCUGGCCUCAGCCUCCCGAGUAGCUGGGACUACAGGCACCCGCCACUGCGCUGGGCUAAUUUUUUGGUUUUUUAGUAGAGACGGGGUUUCACCAUGUUAGCCAGGAUGGUCUCGAUCUCCUGACCUCGUGAUCCACCCACCUCUGCCUCCCAAAGUGCUGGGAUUACAGGCGUGAGCCACCGCGCCCGGACCUAUUUGUGUAUUUAUUUAAUGUAUUUUUUUUGAAGUAGGGUCUCACUCUCACCCAGGCUUGAGUGCAAUGGUACGAUCUUAGCUCACUGCAACCUCUGCCUCCCCGGCUCAAGCUAACCUCCCAACUCAGCCUCCCAAGUAGCUGGGACUACAGGUGCAGGCCACCACGCCCAGCUAAUUUUUGUAUUUUUUGUAGAGACGAGGUUUCACCAUGUCACCCAGGCUGGUCUCCAACUCCUAGACUCAAGCAAUCUGCCCACCUCAGCCUCCCAAUGUGCUGGGAUUACAGGUGUGAGCCAGUGGCCAUGGCCAUAAAAAUUUAUUAAGCUGUACACUUAAGAUUUGUGCAUUUUACUGGAUGUAAUUAUUUCUCAAAAAUUUUAAAUUAAGGAAAAAGUGAUUGACAGCAAUUAUUCCACUUGAGCCUUGCAACAACUUAGGAGUAGACAGGGCAGAGUUUAUCAUCAUUAUGUAUCCUAUGGGGAACCUAAGCUCCAAGGGGAUUGAAUGACUUACCCAAGUCAUAUAAGGAAAGAGUGGCAGACCAGGACUUGCACUCAAGUCUUCUGAAAUCAAGGCCAAUCUGGGCACAGUGACUCAUGUCUGUAAUCCCAGCACUCUGGGAGGUCAAGGCAGGUGGAUCACUUGAGGUCAGGAGUUCGAGACCAACCUGGCCAACAUGGUGAAACCCCAUCUUUACUAAAAAUAUAAAAAUCAGCCAGGUGUGGUGGUGCAUGACUGUAGUCCCAGCUACUCGGGAGGCUGAGGCAUGAGAAUUACUUGAACCCAGGAGGAAGGGGUUGCAGUGAGCUGAGAUUGCAUCACUGCACUCCAGUGUGGGCAACAGAGUGAGACUCUGCCUCAAAAUAAAAAUAAAAAAAUAAAAUAAUAAAAAUCAAGGCCAGUGCUUUUUAUCUCAAGAAAGCCUCCAAGGUGAAUUUAGAGCCCUUCGUUAACUCUAUUAAGGAAUUAUCCAGAGAAGUCCUUACAUGGACAUUUCUGCCAGCUUUCUGAAUUGAGAUUGGAAUAUAUCCCACACUCAUUAAUCAGCAGCAGCUGACUAUCAGAUGACAUUGUCAAGGUGGUAGGUUUUUUUUUCAACAUCUGGUUGUUUUAUUUGUUAUUAAACAUACUGACUGUUGAAUGAGAAAAAUCCCCAUCCUACACAUCUCUCCAUU
rnacentral:lncRNA from 10 species